GCAAACUUGACAAGCUCUUCUCCUCUCACAACUUCUUGAAAGCUGGGUUAGAAUCAGAAUCUUUGCUAGAAAAGUCAGCCACCUCAUAAAAGUGGGCCUUCUGUGUUUGGGCUGAAAAAGAAAAGCAGAAAUCGAAAUGGGUUAUUGCUUUCGGAGAUGAGGCUUUGACAGGUUAGUGUUAUUUCAGCAACAAAUAUUUACUAACCAAAACUCAUACAUAGAGAAAGGAAUUCCAUUUGCUGUGUUGUAGUAGUUUUGGUUUCAUGCUCAUCUGUUCGUCUUCUUCUUCUUUCAUGUGACCAAAGAAUUUGGUUUCUUUGUG
rnacentral:lncRNA from 1 species